GGGAUGCAGCUCAGUGGUAGAGCGCUUGCCUAGUACAUGCGAGAUGCUGGGUUCAAUCCUCAGCAUUACA
rnacentral:tRNA from 1 species